CCAGACUCCUACGGGAGGCAGCAGUGGGGGAUAUUGCACAAUGGGGGGAACCCUGAUGCAGCGACGCCGCGUGGGUGAAGGAGCGUUUCGGCGCGUAAAGCCCUAUCGGCAGGGAAGAAGAUGACGGUACCUGACCAAGAAGCCCCGGCUAACUACGUGCCAGCAGCCGCGGUAAUACGUAGGGGGCAAGCGUUAUCCGGAAUUACUGGGUGUAAAGGGAGCGUAGACGGUGAUGUAAGUCUGGAGUGAAAGGCGGGGGCCCAACCCCCGGACUGCUCUGGAAACUAUGUGACUGGAGUGCAGGAGAGGUGAGCGGAAUUCCUAGUGUAGCGGUGAAAUGCGUAGAUAUUAGGGGGAACACCAGUGGCGAAGGCGGCUCGCUGGACUGUAACUGACGUUGAGGCUCGAAAGCGUGGGGAGCAAACAGGAUUAGAUACCCGCGUA
rnacentral:rRNA from 1 species